rnacentral:lncRNA from 1 species
AAAAAAAAAAAGAGGGAAUGACGUUAUAAUCAACAACAUUAUUUUUGGAUAAUUAGUACCAGCAAGAAUUGCCUUGUUUAGUGAUAAAAAUUUCUCCCUGGAGAACUUAUCUCCUGUGAGAUCAUUCAGAUUAGGUUUUGGUUGAACUGUUACCCCUCUGGAGGAUACAACCUAUGCCAGCUGUGAAUUUCCUGGACACACUAAUAAACUGAUAGAACAUUCUGCGUCAUGAUCCAGCUCGGUGUCCAUUUCUCUUCUAUCACUUGCCAAUGGAUGCUAAAAUAAAUAUAUUAAGGGAGAAAUGACCUUUAAAAGUUCCUAUAAGGAGCAAGCCCCUUCCCAGAGGAAUGUUCUCUCCAUUUUUUUUUUUUUUUUCUUUCCCAGGUAUCAUUUCAAAGGAGAGGUGUGUUAACAAAACAGACGCGGAAGAGACACGGUUGAAGUGAAGCUGCUUGUUUUGCAGGCAACGUAACAAGGUGAGGCUUUCAGAGGAAAAACAUUCAGGGACCUCUCAGUGUAUGAGUUUUAUAGGGCAAAAAACAAAACCAAAAACCUGUUUCCUGACUUAAGACAAUGAUGUAUCUUUUCUGUCCGCAUCUAUAACCUAGUUAAGACCAAGAGAGUUUUGCAUCCUUUGGGAGUGGAGGCGGUCCAGUCUGGCUUGGGGUGACAUUUUUGUGGGAAGACCUUCGUUGUUGGUGGCUUCUAGCCUCAGCAUCUUUUGAGGGAGCAGAAGAGGAGGCUUUCCUUACAGACAGAAACGCCUUCAACCCUGUGCUUUAGACUCGGUCCGCCUGGCAUGUUCUAGGUAUCGUUGCUAAGCUCCAGCCCUCUGUCCGCUCUGCCACUGGUGACGACUCCUCGGCCCACUGGAGGGGCACCAGCGGGCCCCCCGCCCCCGCACCGCGUUCAUGCCCGGGGCCCCCACAUAAGCAUUGAUGGCAGCUUUUUUUGGUGUUUCUGGCUCUUACCUCUACCAAGUGUGGUCAGUUGGGAUGCUAGUUUCCGUGGGUGCGGGGGUCCGUUCCAGGGCCUGCUGAUGGGGAGGAGGCGUUUUCUGGUUGUCAUGGUGAUCCAGAGGGUCCGGCGGGCAGGUCUCGGGCAAGAACCCGGGAGACUGAAUUUUCCUGCCAAACAAGGAACACACCCAGAAAAAGAAUCAUCCCUCAUCUCUCUUGAUUUUUGUUCAGCUGGAUAUUUCUGUUUAUACUCUCCUGAGCCUAGACUCGAAUGCCACACGAUACACAAGUAAAUUUCCCCACUUGCAUGCUUCCUGAAUUCUCCGGGAAGGCAGCUGCUGGGAGUCAAGGGAAGGUGGUACUUGGUUUUGUUUCAAACCUAGGUAAUUGUUCACUAUUUCAGCGGCAGUGGUUCUUAUGGUAACUGAGUCAACAAAAAUGAAUGGUGAAAAAAUGCCAGCCUCCACCACCACCACCACCGACAAACCCAAAAUAGGAGCCUUCACUAACAAAAUUAACAACCCAAAAUAUGAGCCUACGCUAACAACCAAAGAAAUAACAACCCAAAAUAUGAGCCCACACUAAAAACAACAACAAAAAAAUAGUAACAGUGAAAAAAUGAGCCUACACCUGCAACGGUCCCAUUCCAGGUGAUUCUACACACAGGGUAGGCAUUUGAUGCCUUUAUGAGGGUGGGCCCUGCCUGAGUAUUUGCAUGCUAAUAUACAUAUCUCUUAAGUAUUUUUCAUUUCAAUUACCGACUCGUGUUUUAUUGAUUUGCUGAUGUGUGAGCAGAUGGAGUCUCUUGUCUGUAUAAAUAAAAUAAAAUCCAGGAGGGGGUGUAGGUGGAGAUAAAAUGUUCUAAAGAAGGACCUGCUGGGGUAAGAGUAACUCUCCCCAUAACUUCCUUGAAGAACUUCCUGUCAUUCAAGGGUAACAAUCAUAUUCAUAUUUGCCACUGGUUCAUGACCGAUUGCCUCCCCGCUAGAAGACACCGAUGCAUUUUAAGGUUAUUUAACGCCUGUAACAUGCGGUCGCUGUUUCUUGCUAAUGGAAACCCUUCAAACAUUAAUACAGAGUGACAAUCCUCUGCUAAAUAAUCUCCUCUCCACUCUUUCAAGGAGUUAUCAGGGAGGGUCUGGCAGCAAAUAAGAUCAGCUUUGUAAGACAUCAGUCAUUUUUAUAACAAAAACAGCGCUCCAUCUAUCUGGGAGCUGGGUGUACGAGAACGAGCACUUUACGAUUGAGCAAAGAAUGAAUGACUUAAUAAAUGUUGUUGAGAAAAUUGGCUAUCCAUAUUGAAAAAAAAUAGAUCCGUGCCUUGCACAGCACUCAACAGCCUUCUCCAGAUGGAAUAAAGACAUAAAUCUGUACAGCAAAACUUUAAAACUGUUAGAGGGAUAUAUAAGGGUUUGUUUUUAUGAACCUGGAAGAGAGAAGACUUUCUUAAACAAGACCCCAAAAACAGAAGUCAUGAAGGACUGAGACAUUUGACCGUAUGAAAUUUUAAGGCCUCUGAACUGUAAGACACCAGAUACCAUCGAGCCCUGCAUUUCUUAAUGGAAAAAAAAUAUAUUAGCAGGGAAUUCCACUCAUGAAAUAUCUAGAAUUUACUUUUAAACUCCUAUCAGUCAGUAACGAAGGGACCAAAAAAUGUACAAGUAGACCCAAGAUGUGAGUAAGUCAAUGACUAGGAAUCUCGGGUGGCUGGUAGGACCGUGAAAAGUUCAGCUUUGCUAGCAAGCAAAAAAUGAAAACGGCUACUGUUUUCUACCCUUUAGCUUGGAAAAAUGAGCACUUCUGGGGAAAAAAGUGUUAAUGAAUAUUCAGAUUCUGAAUAGUCACUGUGGCUGCUGAGAGUGUAAGCUGAUACCGCCACGCUUGGGAGUAAAAUAAACACAAUAUAUGAACUCAUCGAACCCACAGAUAGGUAAUUACUGUCCAUGGAGUGUCUUUCAAACUGUUUUGAAAGGACCCACUGUAGAAAAUACCUUUUCUAGGACAACCCAGCACCUGUGUACACAUACACUGGUAAAUAAAAUAAGACACACUUUCAGAAAACAUUCAUUACCCUUAACUGUAUGUGGUGCAUUUUGACGUUUUUAUUCUGCUCUCGCGGUUCUUAAAAAACUUUGGUAGUGGCUUGCUGAAUUUAUCUCACAAU